rnacentral:rRNA from 1 species
CACUCCUACGGGAGGCAGCAGUGGGGAAUUUUGGACAAUGGGCGAAAGCCUGAUCCAGCAAUGCCGCGUGAGUGAAGAAGGCCUUCGGGUUGUAAAGCUCUUUUGUCAGGGAAGAAACGGUGAGAGCUAAUAUCUUUUGCUAAUGACGGUACCUGAAGAAUAAGCACCGGCUAACUACGUGCCAGCAGCCGCGGUAAUACGUAGGGUGCAAGCGUUAAUCGGAAUUACUGGGCGUAAAGCGUGCGCAGGCGGUUUUGUAAGUCUGAUGUGAAAUCCCCGAGCUCAACCUGGGAAUUGCAUUGGAGACUGCAAGGCUAGAAUCUGGCAGAGGGGGGUAGAAUUCCACGUGUAGCAGUGAAAUGCGUAGAUAUGUGGAGGAACACCGAUGGCGAAGGCAGCCCCCUGGGUCAAGAUUGACGCUCAUGCACGAAAGCGUGGGGAGCAAACAGGAUUAGAAACCCCAGUAGUCCCAUGAU